UGCUGUCAUUCAACAAGAUACAGUACGAAGAGUGAAAUAAAUUGCAGUGUGCUAGAUUUAUGCAAUUAUUAAUAUGAUUUCAAGGAGGCACACACAGAUCCUUCAAGAAGUUGAUACCCAAGCAUCAAUAUAUAAACAAAGCAUGACAGAGUUCAUGCCAGAACCUGAACAAUUGAAGUGGAGGAACCAUGAUAUUCCCAUCGGAUUCAGCUCAACAACAAGCUGGUUAAAGCUUCAUUGCCAACAACUUUCUUUCUCUAUCCAUUGUGGAAAGUACAGUUACAAGCUUCUGUGAUAUCUGGCAUGUAGCACAGCCAAGCUUUAACAUCCCAAGCAUAGACUACCUCAGCAGAAUCCUAAUACCACAACAAUAUGCUACCAUCCAGAGUAAACUCAAAUCUCAGAUACAAUUGACUCAAAAUAUCGGUCUCUCCUUGGAUUUUGUGGUCCAGCAAUGAAAUGAAAACCUUCAUAGGAAUAAUGGGCCAUUUCAUUCUGGAUUACAAACAGCAUUCUGUUAUGUUGGGAUGUCGCCGUCUAUAGGGCAAACACACUGCUGAGAAAAUUCUUAAAAUGUACAAAGAAACACUAGUUAUGAUAUUGCAAACAAGGUUCCCAAUGGUGUACAGUAAGAAUGGCCCCCCGGUAAAAAGGGCCCAGGGAAAAAUGGCCAAAGGAAAAAUUCCCCGGUAAAAACCCCAGCAAAGUCUUUGCACACACAUUACAACUCGUCAGAGAUAGCCUAUCAGGAUCAGAAGCUGCACCAAUGCAACAGAUAAUGGCCAAAGCAUCCAUUCUGGUUGGUUACUGCAAUAGGAGAACUACACUGUAGUUACAAGCUUACAGGUUGGUGAUGCUGCUGGAACAACCAGGUCAAGAUAAUCUGAUCAGUUCUAGGAGAGAUCCUACUCAUUGAAUACGAGUUUAAAACAAUUGAGGAAUUAUAUGUGAAAUACUAAAACCAUUUGAGGAAGUAAUUGACAGGAUUGAAGGAGAGCUAAUUGUCACUUCUAGCCCUGUUAUUGCCUGUGUCCAUUGCCUUAAACAAGCUGAAGAAACCUGAGAUGACAUUAAGAAAUUUUAAAAAAUCAAGAUUUAAAAAACAUCAUCUGUUUUAAUGUCAAGUUUAACAAAAUAUAAAUUUCAAUGAAAUAUUUAUCUAUUGAAUUUGUUGAUUCAGAUUCAAUUUUAUUUGUUCAAUAUGGACAUAGUACAUUUUUUUCAAGUAAAAAAAAAAUAUUAUCCCAUAGAUAAAAUAUCCAGACAAAAGAUACAAUUUUAUUAAUUGCAAUAAUAGAUCAGGAUAGUACUGCAUAGUUGCCAACUUAUAUGGACUGGCCGUGAGACUCACGGAUAAUUUAUCAUUUACCAGUUUUACUACGAAUGAACAAAAACUCACGGAGUGAUGGCGACGCUAUCUCAAAAUCGGGGGUGUGCUCUCCCACCCCCUUCACGUUCUUUUGUCUUUGUUUCUUGUGGCUUCAAAAGUGCAAAUUGAGAUGGUUUUCUGUGGAAGGCGCUAUAUAGAUAUAUGACCAUUGACCAUUUUACUCACGGAUCAUGAUUUUUAAACUAAGUAAUAAACAAUGAUUUGCGAACUGCAUACAGUAAUAUGCAAUAAAUAGAUUAUUCGCCAUUCGUCCGUAUUGUUUAUAGUGUAGCAAAGAGUAACCCUAGGCAAUGUGCCAGCCCAGUACGCUCGACGUUAGAAUCGUAAACAAACGACGCCCUUACGCUCGCUACCGUCAGUGUGCUUUUAUUACCCAGUAAUGCACCGUCCAUGGUUUGCUUGUUUGUUUAUCUGUUUUCCACAUGGAAGUAUGCGCAUGGUCUGUACAUCGUGAUUCAUGAAUAAAGUGAGUCCGUAAAAAAUGUUUUAAUUUUACACCAAGCAACUGUCUGGUACUCAUCCUAAGUUUAAAGUACAGUACUAUACUUUGGUCAAAUUUAAAUGAGUAUAGCUUUUUGGUUUUAUUAAGUUUACAUACAUACACUUGACUUAAUUUAGUGUCCAAAAUCAAUCAAAUCAGUAGUGAAAAUGCUCAGAUUGUGUAAGCGUCAAAGGCCCCAGCUCCCACUGUCCCCCAGCCAGUGGCUCGUUGCUACGUAAUGCAAGUCCUCAUGGAUUUCUUUUGGGAAAAGUUGGCAACUGUGCUACUGUAAUUUAUAAAAUAUUAAAAUGCUGAAUAAAGAUGCCAGUUAUUGUAAAAUUGCAAAUUUCACUAGCAAAUAAAUUAGUACCCUUUGGAAGUUUGAGGUAAAUA